UGGGGGAUAUUGCACAAUGGGCGAAAGCCUGAUGCAGCGACGCCGCGUGGGGGAUGAAGGCCUUCGGGUUGUAAACUUCUUUUGCUCUGAACAAGGCAUGCCUUUGGGGUGUGGUGAGUGUAGGGGUUGAUUAGCGCCGGCUAACUACGUGCCAGCAGCCGCGGUAAUACGUAGGGCGCGAGCGUUGUCCGGAAUUAUUGGGCGUAAAGGGCUUGUAGGUGGCUGGUUGCGUCUGUCGUGAAAGCUCAUGGCUUAACUGUGGGUUUGCGGUGGGUACGGGCUGGCUUGAGUGCAGUAGGGGAGGCUGGAAUUCCUGGUGUAGCGGUGGAAUGCGCAGAUAUCAGGAGGAAUACCGGGGUCGAAGGCGUGUCUCUGGGCUGUUACUGACGCUGAGGAGCGAAAGCGUGGGGAGCGAACAGG
rnacentral:rRNA from 1 species